rnacentral:rRNA from 1 species
AUUGAACGCUGGCGGAAUGCUUUACACAUGCAAGUCGAGCGGCAGCGCGGGGGCAACCCUGGCGGCGAGCGGCGAACGGGUGAGUAAUACAUCGGAACGUGUCCUUAAGUGGGGGAUAGCUCGGCGAAAGCCGGAUUAAUACCGCAUAAGCUCUGAGGAGGAAAGGCGGGGGCUCCGUAAGGACCUCGCGCUGUUGGAGCGGCCGAUGUCGGAUUAGCUAGUUGGUGGGGUAAACGGCCCACCAAGGCGACGAUCCGUAGCUGGUCUGAGAGGAUGAUCAGCCACACUGGAACUGAGACACGGUCCAGACUCCUACGGGAGGCGGCAGUGGGGAAUUUUGGACAAGUGGGGGCAACCCUGAUCCA